rnacentral:rRNA from 1 species
UACAGAGGGUGCGAGCGUUAAUCGGAAUUACUGGGCGUAAAGCGCGCGUAGGCGGAUCUGCAAGUCGGGGGUGAAAUCCCGAGGCUCAACCUCGGAACUGCCUUCGAUACUGCGGGUCUCGAGUCCGGGAGAGGUGAGUGGAAUUCCUAGUGUAGAGGUGAAAUUCGUAGAUAUUCGCAAGAACACCAGUGGCGAAGGCGGCUUACUGGUCCGGUUCUGACGCUGAGGCGCGAAAAGCGGUGGGGAGCAAACAGG